rnacentral:rRNA from 1 species
UACGUAGGGGGCAAGCGUUGUCCGGAAUCAUUGGGCGUAAAGAGCGUGUAGGCGGCUUGGCAAGUCUGACGUGAAAUCCUGCGGCUCAACCGCAGGCGGUCGUUGGAAACUGCCCUCGCUAGAGUCCGGAAGAGGAGAGCGGAAUUCCUGGUGUAGCGGUGGAAUGCGCAGAUAUCAGGAAGAACACCCGUGGCGAAGGCGGCUCUCUGGGACGGUACUGACGCUGAGACGCGAAAGCGUGGGGAGCGAACAGGAUAAGAUACCGAGUA